rnacentral:rRNA from 1 species
UCAGACGAUGCGUCAUGCAUAUCAAUAAGCGGAGGAAAAGAAACUAACAAGGAUUCCCCUAGUAACGGCGAGUGAAGCGGGAAGAGCUCAAAUUUGAAAUCUUAAAGGGUUUCCCUUUACGAAUUGUAGUUUAAAGAAGUGUUUUCUGUUGAGGUUUUGGUAAAAGUUCUUUGGAAUAGGACAUCAUAGAGGGUGAGAAUCCCGUAUUUGACCUUUACUUUCAACUUUGUGAUACACUUUCAAAGAGUCGGAUUGUUUGGGAAUGCAGUCCAAAAUGGGUGGUAAAUUUCAUCUAAAGCUAAAUAUUGGCGAGAGACCGAUAGCGAACAAGUACCGUGAGGGAAAGAUGAAAAGAACUUUGAAAAGAGAGUUAAACAGUACGUGAAAUUGUCAAAAGGGAAGCGUUUGACACCAGUGUUGUUUUUCUGAAAAUCAAUUAAAGAACUGUUUAUGCUAAGUUGUUUAGACUUUAUCAGCUAACUGUUUAGUUUUGAGCUUUUCUUUAAUGCACUUUUCAGUUAACAAGUCAACAUCAAUUUCUUUUGCUGUAAAAAAGCUUGAGGAAGGUGGCUUGAGAUUCGUCUUAAGUGUUUAUAGCCUCUUGCCUAUGCAGUCGGAGAGAUUGAGGUCUGCAGCGUAGAUCCUUCGGGGCUAAUGCAUUUGUGCUAAGUUAUAACACUUUAUAGACAACUUGUUGACUAUGAUUUGUCUUGUAGCUUACUCGCUUAUGUUAUUUUACCUACGCUUAGGAUGUUGAAUCUGUGCGAGACUAC